GUUUCUGCUGAGUUUCGCCGAUCAAAGCCAAAAUGUCGAGAGCAGCCUCAGAGAUUUUCCUUUUCUCAUAUGCAGGAGUUUAUCGGAGCCAUGCCUAUUUUCUCCAAGGAGCUUCUCGCCGGUGGAGUUUCCGGCGGCAUCGCUAAAACUGACGUAGCCCCUCUUGAACGAAUCAAGAUUCUUUUUUAGAAAGAUGAUAAAGUAUUGAGAAGUUCAGUAAACGAACCGUGAAGGUGAGUCUCUUUCAUUGUUUGAAGAUUGAGCUUGGAAAAGCUGUAUAUAUAUUUUUGCAGAAUUGAAGGGAUCAAAUUGCAUGUCUUUUUGGUUUAUUUUUAAAGGAAGUUAUAAAUAAAUCAGCAGUGUUUGGAUCAUGUUCUUUUUUGGUUUUGGGUGGUUCAGUAAGCUGCCAAAAUUUCAUUGUGUCAAGACUUUUCCCAGGAUUACUGGAAAAUACAUAGAUAGUAAUCUGAAGUGCUUAACAAGGUUUUGCCCCAUGUUAGUUGGUUUUGUUGGUUUCCGUCUCCUCUAACUGUACGAAUUUUAAAUGUCUGCAUUAGAUAAUUGAAAUAAUAUGAGGUGUCAUUUUGACUGUAAUAUUGAUGUGAUCCUUCAUGUCGGCCUUUGGUAGAAAAGAUUUUGAGCAACUGAUCAACCAGAACAAGUCAUAAGAUUAAGACAUAUAUACCGUGCCUUAUUGACAGUUCAUAGUUAUUAACUUAUUACGAAGUAUAUCAUAAGAAUUGACUCUAAACUGUAGUUUCUACUCACUCUACUGGCUGGAGUGGUUGAAUAGCUUUUUACAUCCAACUAUUUUUCAUCUCGCUUCAUCUUUUUCUAAACAUUACUAUCUUAUUGCCAUAUUUUUCAUCAAUUUGCAUUGCCUGUUAGUUUAUCCAGUGUUGCAGAUAAUUGUCUAUCUACACAGAUCACAUUUGUUAGGAUUUUCAAUCGACCUCCGUAUUUGGAAUCUUACUCAAGUGGGGUGAAUAUUAAGUCCAAAGCAUCCACACGUUGGCAAUGCAGACCAAGAAGAGACUUUCUUCAAAAGUUAGAGCCUUCUAGCUCUAUAAGACUGAGAUCUCAGAUGAAGGUAUCUGAAAAUGUUCCAGUUGCCGAGAUCGAAUAAGGCUGCAGUCUCAACUGCUUGAAAAUCUACCUAUGACCCAAGUGAUGCACACAAAGUGGUGCAGACCCACGUGAUGCAGAUCCAAAGUGGUGCAGACCCAAGUGAUGUAGAUCCAAAGUGGUGCAGAACUAAGUGAUGCAGACCUUUGUGAAAAUUCAUGUGGUGCAGACCCAAGUGAUGCAGACAAAGUGGUGCGGGCACAAGGUGGUGCAGAUCCAAAAUGAUUUGUGGUAAACUGAGUUUUAGGGAGCUAAUUGAUGAUGAAGAUAAUAUUUUUGGGUUGAAAAAGGCUCUGAUGGUGCAGACCCAAGUGAUGCAGUCAAAGUGGUUCAGACCCACCAAGUGAUGCAGAUCCAAAGUGGUUCAGACCCACCAAGUGAUGCAGAUCCAAAGUGGUGCAAACCCAAGUGAUGUUGGUUCAAAGUGGUUAAACUGGAUACAUAAGCUGGAUUAUGACUCCCCAUAAUCUAUUAUCCGGUUAUGACUCGCUCACAUGAUUGACCGUGCCCCAACAGGAUAAUCUAUUAUACCUUGAGAGAUCUACGUGAGUUGAAGACGGUAAUAAGUGAAUAACAAUUCAAAGAAUGGUGAGGUUAAGGAAGCGGAUGAAGCUGAUGAUAAUACCAAUUACCAAAUUUUCGUAAGGUGGGAUAAUGUGCUUGUUUUCCUGGAUAAACUAAAGGUUCCAAGGCAUUAGAGGAAUCAGAAAGCUUAAAACUGGCCAAAUUUCCUGGUUCUUUUAGCUUUCCUUAUUACCAAAGGAUGGGUGAAACUUAGUUGACACAGGAGGGAUGUGAAAAAUGAAGGGAAAUCAUUUAAUUACCCCGGCUAUUUUGUAACCGCCAACAUGUAGUUGGACAAGAUUUGGUCAUGAAUCAAAUCACUGGUUGUAUGUUAAAGAAUUAUAAUACAGUAAACUUUUGAUACAGUGUGUUAUAACUCUUUUAGAAUCAACAUUGUUUAUGUUGAAUGAUUUUAGUAUUUAGAUUACCUUACGUGGUCUAGGAAUUCAGGGUAUUUCAUAUGAACAUAGACCACUUGAAGUUUUAUGCUCCUAGGAAAUAACUACAUUUCUUAUCAUUUACUAUAUCCACGCUUUUAACUA